rnacentral:lncRNA from 1 species
ACGAUAAGACUUUAGGGUCUUAUCAUUUGGUAUCAGAGCGACGAUAAGACCUUUAGGGUCUUAUCAUUUGGUAUCAGAGCGACGAUAAGACCUUUAGGGUCUUAUCAUUUGGUAUCAGAGCGAUGAUCCUUAGCAUUCUCGCUGCCAUAGCUAUCAAAAAAUAAAAAAUAAAAAGGGUCCUAACAGUUCCUCCCUCUUUAAAUCAGCCUUGUCCUCAAGGCUGAGCAGCAUCAAUCUCAGGGAGCUUCUCUUUCAGCACUAGCCAUAGACUAUCUGCAACGCAUCACAACCCGUUGAUUAAGUAAGUAUAGUCUCCACUUUUUGAUAGUGUAAGCAACAGGUCGGUCUUUCAGUGUAGUAAUCGUUGCAUGAAACUUCUGGCCCUGUAUAAUCAAUUUUAUCUUUGAACCUUUGCUAUCACAAGUGAAAAUCCAUCCAUCAACGAUCUUUACUUCGAAUCUAUCAUAGUCUUCAAUGUUGUGGGCUAAUCGGUCAACAAUCUCACUGUCCAUAAAAUUGUUAGUGCUACCAGUAUCAAUCAAAACUAUAAUAGGCUGAUGCUCUAGAGUUUCAGCAACUUCCAUAGUUUACGGGUUAGAGUAGUCGGCUAAUGUAUGCAUUGUAUGUAUGAUAGGUUCAAUGUCUUCAUUAGAAUUUAUACCUUCAUGAUCGGAGUCCACAUUCUUAGCUUUCGGCUCCUCUCCAAUUGGUUCAAUCAUCAGAAGUUGCCCUUGUUUACAUCGGUGCUCCAUACUCCAUUUUUCAUCAUAGUACAAACCCCUUGCUGAUCUUUCCUUGCUAAUUUUUUUCUCAUAUAGAUUUGCAAAUGAGAUCGCAGCUAUCAUAGUGCGGGGUUGACGAGCCUUAACUUCACACCGGAUCUCUGGAAUAAGCCCUUCAAUAAAUGUAUCCCGAAGUUCUCGGUCCGACCAAUCUCUAGCUUGAUUUGACAAUCUUUCAAACCUACUCUGAUAUUCUAACACUGUAGAAGUCUGACGAAUUUUGGCGAGCUGGCAAUCAAUAUUCUCAUAUUCGGAUGGGCCAAAGCGAACAAGAAGCCCUCUUUUGAACUGCUCCCAUGAAAGAACUCCGUGGAAAGUUUCAUACCAAUCGUACCACUGGAGUGCAUCUCCCUCGAGCUGGAUUGAGGCCACUUCUACCUUGGAUUCUUCUAGGGUUCUGUGAAAAUGGAAAAAAAUUUCUGCAUUAGAGAUCCAAUUGGUCGGAUCUCCAUCUUUCCAUCUUCGAAAUUCUAUCUUCAUGUGUGAGUAAUUUGUGUCACAAUCUUGGGGCCCUUUUCCUGUAUUUUCAUAUUUGUGCAACGUAGAAGUUGAGCCCCCAUUUUGUGAAAUUUGCUAAGGCUCUCCAGUAUGCUCUUUUUGAAAUCAUUAAGUGUUUCUUGCGGUCGGUUCUCAAUUCUAAUUUCCAAUGCUUCCAUUUGUGCUUUCACCGAGUUAUCAGUGGCCAUUACGUAAUACUGCAAAUCUGUAAUCUCAACUUCUGUUUUUGGUGUCGGUAAGGGCAUCAACACUGUCGAUGCGAAGUUGCCGAGGAGGUGGACGCCAAGGGCAGUGCUGCGGUCGCUGCGUUGGAGGAAGAGUAGCUGCCCUGUUUUUAUCGCUGCGUGGGGUGAGAGCGUCGGGGUUGGAAGGCGACUGCGUUGAUGUGGCUGCAACUGGGGGCAGCGUCGCCAAGGGCCUAUCGCUGCAGUGGUUGCGACGAUGCGGAUGGAAGGCAGCGUUGCUCUAUCUCUACCGCACUACGUAAGGAGGCAUUGGUGACGCCGAGGGAUCACGUGCAGUUGAGGACACGAUAGUGUCGUUGAAGCGGGCGAGGUUGAGAAGAGGAGUCGAUGCGUGCGUUGCCGAGGUUGAAGCGGCCGCACAAGAGUUUGCUGCGUGUGCUGUUGGAGGGCGGCUGCGGUGGCGUUGCCGAGGUUGAGGCUGCAGUGGAAAAUAGGAAUCGACGGUGGCAGGCUGGGCGGCGAGCAGCGUCGUCGCUGGCUGGGCAGCAGCGGCGACGGUGGUGGCAACCAGUGUUCGCAGCAGUAAGAGGAUUGCCCUGUUUCGAUCACAAGGGGGCAGAGCAAGGGGGAGUGGCGGCGGUCGUUCUCACCCGAGCCAGGGGGAGCGGCAGCUGGGAGGCGAGCAGUGGUCGCCGCACGGUGGCUGGCAGUGGUGGUGGGUGUGAGGACCAUUUUUUUGAGCUUUUGAAUAAUGUUUAUUGAGUCUGUUUAGUCCAGUUGUUUAUUGAGUCGGUUUGGUUCAGUUAGAGUCAAGUAGAAGUUUAUUUAAUAUUUAUUUAUUAUUAGAGUUCAAGUCCUGAUGGACUCUAGGUGGAACUCUAUAAAUAGGGAUGUAACUGCUUCUUUUCAGUAAUCUAUGAAAAAUAUUAUUCUAUCUUUUGACAAACCCUAGGAGGCCGAUCGAUCCCCUCGAAGCGAUCAAGGAGGGCCGAUCCCCUCGAAGUGAUCAAGGAGGACCGAUCCCCUCGAAGCGAUCAAGGAGGGUUGAUCCCCUCGAAGCGAUCAAGGAGCCUGAUCCCCUCGAAGAGAUCAAGGAGGCUGAUCCCCUCGAAGUGAUCAUUAUCAUUCCCUUUCUCUUCUUCUUUUUGACGAUAAGACUUUAUGGUCUUAUCAUUUGGUAUCAGAGCGACGAUAAGACUUUAGGGUCUUAUCAUUUGGUAUCAGAGCAACGAUCCUUGGUGCAGCCCGCCGCAGCCUUACCGUUGUCGCUGUUUCCCCGGCUAGCGACCUUCGACCACCGCUCGACCUCCUCGCUGCCCCAUCUCGUUCAAAAAAAAAAAAAAGAAGAAGAAACAUGAGAGGAACUGCAGCCACCCCUGUGUCCCCUGCUUCCGGCCAGCCCACCUGCCACUGUUGCUCUCCGGCCAACGCCCACCAUCGCCCCACUUCCCGGCCGACGACCACUGCCGCCGUUGUUCCCCGGCCAGGAGACGACGUUGCCAGCGUCCAUCCCAGCCCUACUACCGCCGCCCGC